CCAUACUUCUUUAUAUGCCAUAUCUGUACUUGACUGUAUGGAAUGUAAAGAAGUAUGUAG
rnacentral:pre_miRNA from 1 species